rnacentral:rRNA from 1 species
UACGAAGGGUGCAAGCGUUAAUCGGAAUUACUGGGCGUAAAGGGUGCGUAGGCGGUUCGUUAAGUCUGUUGUGAAAUCCCCGGGCUCAACCUGGGAAUGGCAAUGGAUACUGGCGAGCUAGAGUGUGAUAGAGGAUGGUGGAAUUCCCGGUGUAGCGGUGAAAUGCGUAGAGAUCGGGAGGAACAUCAGUGGCGAAGGCGGCCAUCUGGGUAGAUACUGACGCUGAGGUGCGAAAGCGUGGGGAGCAAACAGG